rnacentral:lncRNA from 1 species
UUUUGACACUUUUAGAAGAAAAAAAUACAGAAACCCUAACCCUAAAAAAAAAAAAAAACUUUUUCUUUCACACCAGCCGUCCCCCCCUUUUGUUUUCAUUUUUUUGGUCUCCCGGAGUUGCUCCUCGGUUUGAUUUUUCUGACCCAAAAAACCGGCCACCCGAACCAGCCUCCCCCUGUUUUCAUCUUCUUCUCCGCCGUUCCCUUUUUCUCGGCCACAAACAAAUCCAAAACAACAGUCCGAAGCCGCCCCCCUCAAUAUUCAACCCGACAACCCAUUGCUGCCUCUCACCAGCCAAAGAAACCGCCCCCCCCUUACCUUUGAAACCAAAACAGAACCCUUUUUUUUCUUCAUCGCCAUUUUCCAGCUUCUCCUGCUCUUCCCCCACAAAAUCCUGGCCUCCACUCCGUAACCCCGCACCUUUUGAUUUGUUUUUGGCUUCUCCCUUAACUGACCAAACAGCAGCCCCCAGCUUGAAUUUCUUUCCCCCGAUCUGUUCUUCUUUCUCUCCACCGGCCGCAGGCCACGGUCUCCCACGCCAGCAGCAGCCUCGCCACCACCGAUCUCUAACCAACCGGCCAGCAGCAGCGUUUUCCUUCCCCAUCAGCGACCAAAACAGAGCCGUUCCCCCAUCUCCUCAGACCCACGGCUCCCGCUUCAGCCAGCGAGUCUUUCCUUCCUUAGCUGCCGAACAUCCUCCAGCGACAGCAAUAACCCACCGACGCCUUGACAGCAGAUCCGGUCACCUGAGACAGAGACGAGAGGAGGUAGAGAAACGGAAGAGACGAUCUGAAGAAGAAGAGGAAGCAGCAGAUCGGAGAAGAAAGAACAAAAAAAUCAGAUUCGAAAAUAAAGAAAUAAAAGCUUAAAAUCGACUGCUUGUUGCGUUUUGGGUGUUUUUGCAGGUAACACCGGCGAGGACGGGAAGAGGGGACGAAGCUGCCACCAGCCCCCCUGCUGCGUCCUUUUUUUUCCUGCGGCGCGUGAACCCACGCGCCGCCAGUGACGGUGGCGCGUGGGGAGACGCGCCACCACUGUUUGCUGCGGUGGCAGGAGGCUAUCAAUGCGAUUUCUGAAGUUUAGGGACUUUUUUUUUUGUAAUUUUUAAAUUAUGUAAUGUAUUUUUUUUUUUUAGUGUUUAGUUUUUAUAUUUUUUGUAAUGGGAUGUACAAAAAGAAAAGAAAGAGAAAAUAAUCAUAAAAAAGGGGUUGUAUGUGUUGGUGUAUUUUUAUUCAGUUUUUAUAAUUUGUAUUUUGUAUUUGUGGAUGGAAAAGAAAAAGAAAAGAAAAGAAAAGAAACAAAAAUAGUGAAAGUGUAUGUGUGAGUUUGUAUUUUGUUUUAUUUAUUUGUAUAUAUUUUUUAAUGAUAAAAUUGCAAGGACUAAAAAAAGAAUUUAAUAUUUUGAUUGGAUCACGGUACAGAUUUAUUAACUUAUACGUAAGUUGUAUUUCUAACAUCCGAUGAAAAGACAAAAUUUUAAGACUUUUUUUUCACACGUUCAAAAUCACGAAGCAGCUUACCUCAGGUAGGGUGCGUUAGGGGUGCUAAUACCUUCCCUAACCACAACCAGUCCCUUACCCGCGAAUCUCGGAUAAGACCAGUACAUCCGGUUUCCUAGUAGCCCGCAAUCAAUUACUAGGUGGCGACUCCCACGAACGAAUUCAAAGCAAAACAUUACGCAACGAUGAAAAAUCGCCAGCCGAUGCCGCGCGCUUCGCUUCGGAUUUUUUUGGGGUGCGACAGGAUGGCGACUCCACUGGGGAUAGGUAUUGUUUUCAACUUUAUCGGACUAAGCUUUGUGUUUUGAUGUGUUCAAAUUUUUUUUUUUUUUGUGCUUUGUUUUGUUUUUUGUUUUAUCCAUGCAUUGUAUAUAAUUCUCUCAUGCAUCACAAGUUUUAAUUUUUGAAAGCACACACAAACUUUAAGUUAGGUGGGGGACUAGCAGCUUACCUUACGACUUGAGUCAAGGUUUAAGUUUGUGUAAACCCCAACUCUUUGUUGAGUGCUUAGACUGGUAAUAGUUGGACACGUGCCAACCAAUUACCUACUGGGCCCCUAUAUUGCCUUUACGAAGGCGAUCACUGGGACAACAAGAGACCCUUUUAGAGACCAAGUAGCAAACCCACCCUGUCUCACGUAAAAAGAUUAGAACCUGCCUGUAGGAUGUAUGCUCCGUAAAUAUUUGUUUUGUUUUGCAUCUGAGCAAACCCUUCUUGAAGCAUCUUGAACUCAAGACUUGUGGGUGACACAUUGGCCGUCACUCCGAAAAUUUUUAUUGUAGAGUUUGGGCAAAAAUCACGAUUCUUGCUCCAUCAUACAAGAGUUACGACCAUAUUGUCACCCCUCGAAGGGUGAGUUCGUCAUAUAGAUUACAUACAUGUACCGGGUUGAAAGAUAGUUCCCCCGCACAAGCUGUGCUGCAAGUGAUUAAAGAAAGGAUGGAAGUGAAGAAAGAUGUCAGAUAGAGGCUCAUUAUCAGUUUGAGGUUGAGAGCAUCAAAGGUGAAGUAGCUAGACUCAGAUCUGCUCGAACAAGUGUUGAGCAUCAAAUGGAAAGAGAAUGUCUGCACAGUCUUAUGUGGGAACACUGCUUGUCCACGUCCAAUUGAAGCUGCCUUUCCUUUUCAGUCAUGAACAACAGCAACAACGCCUUCAGUCAUCAACUAAUAACAACUCUGAUUCCUGUCCAGUUGCGCUGUUAAGUAUUCAUCGCCUCCACAUCAUCUAAUGGAACCAAACGACUACUAACCUCCUGUGCAUGGUGCAUUAGUCUGCUUUGAAGUUACCCCAAUUAUGAGCUCAAUUCCAGUUCAGCAGCACAAGAUGUUGGUCUAAAAAAAAAAAAAAACCAUGAUCAGACACUGAAUUUCAACGCGGUAGAGCUCUCUCUGUAGAGAUUUAUUUGUGGAUCUGUCAAUGGCAAAUGCAAAAGGGAAUGUAUUAAUUUCAUAUGCUUUGAAACUAUUUCCCACCAGUGGCACCAGCAAAACAUUGUAGUAGGCAGAAGAGUCAGACCUGGUCUGAUAAUAUUAGUAGUUGUCAAACUUCAAUGUGGCAGAGCUCUCUCUACAAAAAUCCAUUUAUGGCUCUGCAAAUUGGGAAUGCAAGAGGGGAUUUACUAAUUGCAUAUGCUACAAAUAUUUCUCUCAUCAGUUUCAGCACGAAGAAACUAUAGCAGGUUGAAGAGCCAGACUUGGCUUGAAAAAUAUGAGCAGACAUCAAACUUCAACGUAGCAGAGCUCUCCCGACAGGAAUCUGUUUGUGGAUCCGCAAUUAUGAAAUCCAAGAAGGAAUACAGUAGUUUCAGAUCAUUUUAUGAUUUUUCUCCAACAGUGUCAGUAUUAAAAUGCAAAAGUAGAGAGAAGAUACAUGCCUAGACUGAAAAACAUGAAGAAUACUGACACUUCAACAGAGCAGGACUUCCUCUAUAGGUGUUUGUUUGCUGCACUGUCAGUGAGAAAUUGAAGAGGUGACGAAGGAGUUUUAGAUUCAUCAGGUGCUCUUCCAAUAAAGACAAUGUGUGAUUCCACACGUCGGUAGUGGCGAUACUACAAGUUUCUGGAUGCUGCCAAGAUUACCAAGCUGUUAGAAAGUUUUCUAACAAUCCUCAACCAACCAUAGCAACAUUGGAAGAUUGAAGGAUCUGCCAUGGAUUCUAGAACAAUGAUGAGAGGUGAAUCAGGAGAUGACUUUGACAGUGUGAAACCUUAAUUAUGUGGUAUAGCCAGGUCUCACGGCAUCAUCAAUUGCUCAAAAUAUCUUUGCCAAGAUGGGACAUUGCUCUGCCGUUUAAGUUGUCGACCAGCAUCCGCAAGAUUCCAGAAUUUUGCUUGACUCCGACAAAUUCCCAUGCAACCACCAAUUUCUUAGUGGUAUAAUCCAGAUAAGAGAUGUGAUGUCAUGGUGGGGUCCUCAACCAUUUCAAGUGAACAGUUUCAAGAAUUGCAAGAAUUGAGUCUGGAAGUUGGUGAGCAAGAGACAGGUGGAGUCGUUGAAGAAGGGUGUCACUGGCUAUAUUGUUCCCCGAACAUCUUCAGAAGGACAUGUGAUCGAAAAUGCUUGGCAAAACACAGAUAUUGCCAGAAAAGCUGAUUCGAGAAGGGUGAUGAACAAUCAAUCAUAUUGUUAUGGAAUUCUGCAUUUUGUUUUGGGAUCACAUCUCAUCCUUCAACGAAACAUGCCUUGCUUUUGUCUCUUUGUUGUUUUGAAAUCAGCAGAUGUUUAGCAUUUUAUUCUGACAAAAUAUUUUGAUCAAACUUCAACAUGCGAUAAAGGUUAAUCAAUCCGGAAGAUUAGAAGUGUUUUGAUUACAGAAAUGACUCUAUGCUUGAAAAUGACAUGAGGUGACCAAACAAUUUUGAACUCAUACCUUUUGAAACUGAACCACACAUCAUAUAGCUAAGUUUUAGCAGUAUGCAUAAUGACAUGUAGUGGAUUCAAUAGUUAUGGACUCGUGAAUCAUGAUUCUUGCAAGUACAAAUCAUUACACUAGAUGAGGUCAAAAUUUAUCGGUUCUAACCGACCUUGCUUGAAAUGAGAAAAGGCCAUCUUUGAUAUCUCUUCACUUUCUAAAAAUUAUAUCCCUUGUAGUCCCAUUUUGAGCUUGGUGAGAUAUUUUCUUUCAAAAGGAAACCCUGACUAGGAUCACACCCCACACUGGGGGCAAAUGAGAAAUAUUUUGGAGACACUGAUAAAAUCAAUGGAUCAAAGAAAAGCUUAGAACAAAAGUCCAAUGUUUGAGAAAGGGCUAGCAGAAGAAAAUCCAUAGAUUGAGGGCCAUCCAAGAAAAACUUUGAGGAAGGCUAUGCAAAAAAAAAAAAAAAAAAAAAAUGGAAAGGAAAGAAAAUGCCUAUCAAUUCUAAGAGAGGCAAGACAGUUUUCAAUUGAAAAAAGACAUCAAAUGCCAAAAGUCAACACUAGAAAAAUCGAUGCUUCAUAUCUUUUGAUGUGUCUUGGAUAGAGCCUCUAAUGUCUUCAAAAAUAAUUAGAUUAGUUUAUUCAUCAAAGAAAAAGUUGGAUUUGCAUUAUGACCUAUGUUAAGAAAAUUCUGAUAUUUGAAGAUUAACAAGGUUAUAUGUCACUCUCGCUACAAUGACGACAAGAGAAAGAGAAUCGAUGAAUAGUUAAUGUUGGUCCUAGGUCGUUGAAACCCUCAAACACCUUUUGAGCCUAUGGAAUUCCUUUCUUUCAUAGCCAUGAACCAUAGCCUGCAUUACGUGCUUUUAAAAGCCCUUUUUAAUCAAGCAAGCAAUCUGAACCAAUAAAUGGCGUUCUCAAAACUUGAAGAGUUUUUCUAUAAGAGUCGUGGCUUCAUUGAAUUAGGCUACUGGUUAUUAUGCAUGCUGAUAAAAUAAAAUGCUAAGAAAAGAAACAACCUUUCUUGAUAAAGCCUGAGCAUCUUGUUUUUUUAAAAUUCAUAAAAAUGCCACCUCAUCAUAGACUAUCAAAUGAUAUACCCAAUAUCAAGGAUUCAAAUUGAUACAAAGAACCAUGGAAAAAGCCAUUUUUAAUCCUACAUUGGGUCAAUUUCUGUUUUCAAAAUGCAUGACAAUCAAAGGACUAUAUAUUUCGAAUAACGUGUGUUGGGUCUUUGAUCAAAAAGCUUGAUUUUCAAAAAGGACAUCUCUGAUUUCAUUUCAAACUAGACUUUGAAUAGACAUGAUCUUUGAAAUAUGAGAGUUGAUUCCAGAACAAGGAAGAUUAUCAAACACAAAAGAACAUUGAUUGAGUAUGCAAAAUCAUUGAUAGAAAUGACAUUGACAUUGAAGUCCUCGACACUCCUUGAAAAGUUGAGCAACUGGGGGCAAUACAGUAGACCUUGAAAAGAAAAAAAACAAGCAGUGCUCAGAUCAGCUAUGAGGCAAUGAUUAAAUGAUGAAUCAGUGAACUGAAGACAAUGAUGUUCAAGGAAAGAUAAUCAAUGAACGAGCACAUUCAGAUCAUGCCGGGGGCAUUGUCAUUCCAAAAUGGCCCAUGCUCUAGUGAACCCUGUCGGCAACGGAGAAACAAGGAUGUACUUGAAGGACACUUUCAUAUCAUCAUCUUUUGAAACAUGGCUAGCAAUCGAUGAAGAUACACAGAUGAAUGUAAUUGAAUGGUGAAAAGAUGCACACCACCAAGACUGACUGUGGAACAAUGCUGCACUUAAAGGACAAUCUCAUAUUGUCAUUCUUUGAAACAUGGUUAUAGAUAGAUGUUAUCACACAACUGCACUGAAUGAAUGUCGGAAAGGAACCCACCUCGAAGACUGAUUGUGGGACAACUUGUUCUGAAGCCAGAUGAGCGAUUCACCGCAUGAGUAUGAGUGAUAAAAGCAGCAUCAUUGAUGAGGCUGAGACAUUUCUUUUCACAAUCUGAUUAGAAGAGUUGAAAGGAAUCUAUGAGAAGCGCACUGAGCAUACAACCAUGAGCCUUUGUACUGCAAGCUAUGAGAUGCAUGUCUAGAUGACUGAUUGAGUUUCAAGGAGGCUGAUGAUAACAUGUACUUGAAGAGUACUGUUUCAACUAGAGGCAAGUUCAUGACUGAUUAACAAACGUGAUGGGUGUUGGCAUGAUGCACACAAUCAAUCAGAGGAUAAUUCUCAGAAGAAGCCAUGAGAGAAAAUCCUUCACGAUGAAUCAAGCAGUACCACACUUGGGGGCAGGGUCAAGCUUGAUGAACGAUGCAAGCAGUAAUUGUCGAAGACAGCCCGGGAUGGGCACUACAUUUACAACCGAGUGGAUGGCUAACACAUGAAUGAGCCAAUACAUCGGAAGAACAAAGAAAGCUUUGGAAUACAAACAAGGGCACCCUAUGACGAUGGAGCAUCAAAGAGGGGGGACCUAUUGUUUCAAAUCAGGUAAGGAUGCAUGCAUAUCAUCUAACCUAAAAAAAAAAAAAAAAAAAAAAAAAAAACACAAUUUGCACAUAUUUUUGAAUUGUUACAGGAAAAUCCUUAAUAAGGUCCAGCAAGAUGGUGGAAAGAGAAAGAAGCAUAGUGGUGAUGAUAAUAAAGAAUCGAUUUUGAUCAUGGAAUAAAAGGACGAUGGGAUGAACCCUACCAUUAGGAAAAUCCCAAAGAAAUGAAAAGAUCAACCUUGCAAUCGGGAAGCCUCGAGUUUUCAACUCUUGCAGUCAGGAAACACCGAGUUUUUUUUCAAACCCCAUGAUCGGGAAUUAUCAGGAAGCACCGAGUUUUCCAGCCCUUUCUUCUGUCAUCCCUUCAGAACUUCGCCAAGUAAGUCCUAUUUUUCACACCGCACUUCAUCAUAUUUUUUCCAUCUGGGUAGGUCACCCAUUACAAUGAGACCACACUUCAUAUUUUUUCCACGUGGGUAGGUCACCCAUUACAAUGAGACCGCACUUCACAUUUUUUCCAUCUGGGUAGGUCACCCAUACAAUGAGACCAUCAUUUUUCCGGGGUUCGUCACCCAUACAAUGAGACCAUCAUUUUUCUGGGUUCGUCACCCAUACAAUGAGACCAUCAUAUUUCUAGGGUUCGUCACCCGUACAAUGAGACCAUCAUUUUUCUAGGGUUCAUCACCCGUACAAUGAGACCAGCACUAGGGUUCGUCACCCGUACAAUGAGACCAGCACUAGGGUUCGUCACCCGUACAAUGAGACCAGCAGCACUAGGGUUCGUCACCCGUACAAUGAGACCAGCAGCACUAGGGUUCGUCACCCGUACAAUGAGACCAGCAUUUUUCGAGGGUUAGUCACCCGUACAAUGAGACCAGAAUGAGGUCGCCAGAUGGGAUCUCAUGUAGCUUUGGUUAAAGGGAAUCGUCAGAUGGGAUUUCAGGUUAACCGAGUUACACAUAUUUCGUUCCAGUUGAAUGAGGUCGCCAGAUGGGAUCUCAUGUAACUUUGGUUAAAGGGAAUCGCCAGAUGGGAUUUCAGGUUAACCGAGUUACACAUAUUUUCGUUCCAGUUGAAUGAGGUCGCCAGAUGGGAUCUCAGGUAAACCCAAUGUGUGGGCAGGUCGCCCGUGAAAAUAGACUAUUGGGAGAGUGUGGGUCGGUCGCCCGUGAAAAUAGACUUGAGUGAGUAUGUGUGGGCAGGUCGCCCGUGAAAAUAGACUUGAGUGAGUACGUGUGGGUAGGUCGCCCGUGAAAAUAGACCAGAGUGAGUAUGCGUGGGCAGGUCGUCCGUGAAAACAGAUCAGUGUGAGUGUGUGAGCAGGUCGCCCAAGAUAAUGAAAUCAUUUUCCUUUUGUUUUCUUUACAAAGCUUACUAUGCAAAAUUUUGAAGAGUUUUGCUUCGUAAGCAUUGUAAAGAGGGGGCAUCUGUUGCUACCCAAUUUUUGACCCAUGUUUUGAUAUAUUUUCAAAAAAAUCCAAAAAAUUGAGAAAAGCAAAGAAAAUCCAAAAAUAUGUUUUUUAAUAUAUUUUCGUCAUUUUAGCAUUUUCAACGUCGUCUAAAAAAAGAAUUUAAAUAGUUAAAAGAUUUUCAAACGCGUUCGAUGUUUCACGCGUUAUUUUUAAAUCAUUGAUUUUUCGCAUUUAAGUCGACGUUGAUAUUGCUCGUUUUCAAAAAAUACAAAAAAAUAAGAAAAAUCAAAAUUUACAAAAAAAAAGAGUUGAGGGACCAAGUUGAAAAACCUAGCAAAAGUUUUGCCUAUAAAUACUGGUUUCCAACACUUACUAAAGGAGGGGGGUAAUUUUGACACUUUUAGAAGAAAAAAAUACAGAAACCCUAACCCUAAAAAAAAAAAAAAACUUUUUCUUUCACACUAGCCGCCCCCCCUUUUGUUUUCAUUUUUUUGGUCUCCCGGAGUUGCUCCUCGGUUUGAUUUUUCUGACCCAAAAAACCGGCCACCCGAACCAGCCUCCCCCUGUUUUCAUCUUCUUCUCCGCCGUUCCCUUUUUCUCGGCCACAAACAAAUCCAAAACAACAGUCCGAAGCCGCCCCCCUCAAUAUUCAACCCGACAACCCCAUUGCUGCCUCUCACCAGCCAAAGAAACCGCCCCCCCCCUUACCUUUGAAACCAAAACAGAACCUUUUCUUUUUCUUCAUCGCCAUUUUCCAGCUUCUCCUGCUCUUCCCCCACAAAAUCCUGGCCUCCACUCCGUAACCCCGCACCUUUUGAUUUGUUUUUGGCUUCUCCCUCAACUGACCAAACAGCAGCCCCCCAGCUUGAAUUUCUUUCCCCCGAUCUGUUCUUCUUUCUCUCCACCGGCCACAGGCCACGGUCUCCCACGCCAGCAGCAGCCUCGCCACCACCGAUCUCUAACCAACCGGCCAGCAGCAGCGUUUUCCUUCCCCAUCAGCGACCAAAACAGAGCCGUUCCCCCAUCUCCUCAGACCCACGGCUCCCGCUUCAGCCAGCGAGUCUUUCCUUCCUUAGCUGCCGAACAUCCUCCAGCGACAGCAAUAACCCACCGACGCCUUGACAGCAGAUCCGGUCACCUGAGACAGAGACGAGAGGAGGUAGAGAAACGGAAGAGACGAUCUGAAGAAGAAGAGGAAGCAGCAGAUCGGAGAAGAAAGAACAAAAAAAUCAGAUUCGAAAAUAAAGAAAUAAAAGCUUAAAAUCGACUGCUUGUUGCGUUUUGGGUGUUUUUGCAGGUAACACCGGCGAGGACGGGAAGAGGGGACGAAGCUGCCACCAGCCCCCCUGCUGCGUCCUUUUUUUUCCGGCGGCG